rnacentral:rRNA from 1 species
CGCCCAGACUCCUACGGGAGGCAGCAGUGGGGGAUAUUGCACAAUGGGGGGAACCCUGAUGCAGCGACGCCGCGUGGGUGAAGGAGUGCUUCGGCAUGUAAAGCCUUAUCGGCAGGGAAGAAGCAAGACGGUACCUGACUAAGAAGCCCCGGCUAACUACGUGCCAGCAGCCGCGGUAAUACGUAGGGGGCAAGCGUUAUCCGGAUUUACUGGGUGUAAAGGGAGCGUAGACGGCGAAGAAAGUCUGAAGUGAGAGCCCGCGGCUCAACCGCGGAAUGGCUUUGGAAACUUUUUUGCUGGAGUACCGGAGAGGUAAGCGGAAUUCCUAGUGUAGCGGUGAAAUGCGUAGAUAUUAGGAGGAACACCAGUGGCGAAGGCGGCUUACUGGACGGUAACUGACGUUGAGGCUCGAAAGCGUGGGGAGCAAACAGGAUUAGAUACCCUCGUACC